rnacentral:snRNA from 1 species
AGGUGUAAGGGCGAUCUGGCUGCUGUAUCUGUUACCCCACUGAUCACCAGCAUUGAUCCAGCUGAUCUGGUUGGUGUGUGUCUCCUUCCUCUGUCACUGCUCCACAUGUGUCCCUCCUGAAGUUCUGUGCUCAGCUCAAGAGGAUACCUUCCCUGGGAGAAGACCAUUCUUUGGUCAAAGGUGUAAGAAGUAGGUGCACUCCCCUGCUAUAACCUCCGAACAAACUCUCCAGAAGGUUAUGACUUAUGUGUCUAAGAAAGGAUCAAGGUUCUUCUCAAAUUUUUUAAAAAUUUAAAUUUAAGCUGGGCGUGGUUGCACAUGCCUGUAGUC